UACGUAGGGUCCGAGCGUUGUCCGGAAUUAUUGGGCGUAAAGGGCUCGUAGGCGGUCCGUCACGUCGGGAGUGAAAACUCAGGGCUCAACCCUGAGCGUGCUUCCGAUACGGGCGGACUAGAGGUAUGCAGGGGAGAACGGAAUUCCUGGUGUAGCGGUGGAAUGCGGCAGAGUAUCAGGAGGAACACCGGUGGCGAAGGCGGUUCUCUGGGCAUUACCUGACGCUGAGGAGCGAAAGCAUGGGGAGCGAACAGG
rnacentral:rRNA from 1 species